rfam:Camelus ferus unplaced genomic scaffold scaffold977, whole genome shotgun sequence.
AGGGGUAUAGCUCAGUGGUAGAGCACAUGCUUUGCAUGCACGACGUCCUGGCUUCAAUCCUCAGUACCUCUA